GGAGGAAUAUUGGUCAAUGGGCGAGAGCCUGAACCAGCCAAGUAGCGUGCAGGAAGACGGCCCUAUGGGUUGUAAACUGCUUUUAUAAGGGAAUAAAGUGGGUCACGUGUGACUUUUUUGCAUGUACCUUAUGAAUAAGGACCGGCUAAUUCCGUGCCAGCAGCCGCGGUAAUACGGAAGGUCCGGGCGUUAUCCGGAUUUAUCGGGUUUAAAGGGAGCGUAGGCCGGAGAUUAAGCGUGUUGUGAAAUGUAGUGGCUCAACCUCUGCACUGCAGCGCGAACUGGUCUUCUUGAGUACGCACAACGUGGGCGGAAUUCGUGGUGUAGCGGU
rnacentral:rRNA from 1 species